AUGAGACUCACAGUUAAGUUUGAAUUUCAGAUAAGCAAUGAAUAAUUUUUUUAAUAUAAGUAUCUCCUUGGCAAUACUUGGGACAUACUUAUAAUAAAAAAAAAUUGUCUUUUAUCUGAAAUUCAAAUUUAACUGUACAUUCUCUAUUUU
rnacentral:miRNA from 1 species